AGGACGAACGCUGGCGGCGUGCUUAACACAUGCAAGUCGAACGGAGUAGCAAUACUUAGUGGCGGACGGGUGAGUAACGCGUGAGAAUCUACCUUCAGGACGGAGACAACAGUUGGAAACGACUGCUAACCCCCGAUGUACCGAAAGGGCAAAUAUUUAUAGCCUGAAGAAGAGCUCGCGUCCGAUUAGCUAGUUGGAGAGGUAAAAGCUCACCAAGGCGACGAUCGGUAGCUGGUCUGAGAGGACGAUCAGCCACACUGGGACUGAGACACGGCCCAGACUCCUACGGGAGGCAGCAGUGGGGAAUUUCCGCAAUGGGCGAAAGCCUGACGGAGCAAGACCGCGUGGGGGAAGAAGGCUCUUGGGUUGUAAACCCCUUUUCUCUGGGAAGAACGUUGUGAAAGCAGCCUGACGGUACCAGAGGAAUCAGCAUCGGCUAACUCCGUGCCAGCAGCCGC
rnacentral:rRNA from 1 species